AGAGUUUGAUCAUGGCUCAGAUUGAACGCUGGCGGAAUGCUUUACACAUGCAAGUCGAGCGGCAGCGCGGGGCNNCCUGGCGGCGAGCGGCGAACGGGUGAGUAACAUAUCGGGACGUAUCCAUAAGUGGGGGGACAACCUGGCGAAAGCCAGGCUAAUACCGCAUACGCUCGAGAGAGGAAAGUGGGGGAUCGCAAGACCUCACGCUUUAGGAGCGGCCGAUAUCAGAUUAGCUAGAUGGUGAGGUAAAGGCUUACCAUGGCGACGAUCUGUAGCUGGUCUGAGAGGAUGAUCAGCCACACUGGGACUGAGACACGGCCCAGACUCCUACGGGAGGCAGCAGUGGGGAAUUUUGGACAAUGGGGGCAACCCUGAUCCAGCCAUUCCGCGUGAGUGAAGAAGGCCUUCGGGUUGUAAAGCUCUUUUGUUCGGGACGAAACGGUUUCACCUAAUACGUGAGACUACUGACGGUACCGGAAGAAUAAGCACCGGCUAACUACGUGCCAGCAGCCGCGGUAAUACGUAGGGUGCGAGCGUUAAUCGGAAUUACUGGGCGUAAAGCGUGCGCAGGCGGUUUUAUAAGCCAGAUGUGAAAGCCCCGGGCUCAACCUGGGAAUGGCAUUUGGGACUGUAAGGCUGGAGUAUGGCAGAGGAGACUAGAAUUCCUGGUGUAGCAGUGAAAUGCGUAGAUAUCAGGAGGAAUACCGAUGGCGAAGGCAGGUCUCUGGGCCAAUACUGACGCUCAUGCACGAAAGCGUGGGGAGCAAACAGGAUUAGAUACCCUAGUAGUCC
rnacentral:rRNA from 1 species